GUUGUCCACUUGGGAAACACGGUGUUGGUAAUUGUGAUUCAGAGUGUGAUGUAGGGUGUGCCAAUGGUCUGUGUGAUCCAGUGACCGGAAAAUGCGCAUACUGUGCUGAUGGAUACUUUCGGCCUGGAUCUUUAUGCAUAGAAUGUCCCUCAAAUUGUUAUGAUAACGCAUGCAAUGUAGAAUCCGGUGUUUGUUCCGCGUGUACUCCCGGGUAUUAUGGCGGCCGUUGCAAUCAGGCUUGUCUGUUCAACUGUAAGGACAACCGAUGUACGCAAAUCAAUGGAGAGUGUGAAGGCUGUGAAGAUGGAUUCUUCGGAUCGUCCUGUGAUGACUGCUCUGUUGGUUGUACUAGUCCAGUCUGUGACAAAAUAUCAGGAAAUUGUAGUCGUAAG